rnacentral:rRNA from 1 species
UACGUAGGGGGCAAGCGUUGUCCGGAAUCAUUGGGCGUAAAGAGCGUGUAGGCGGCUUGGUAAGUCCGCUGUGAAAGUCCAGGGCUCAACCCUGGAAUGCCGGUGGAAACUGUCAGGCUCGAGUCCGGAAGAGGCGAGUGGAAUUCCUGGUGUAGCAGUGAAAUGCGCAGAUAUCAGGAGGAACACCAAUGGCGAAGGCAGCUCGCUGGGACGGUACUGACGCUGAGACGCGAAAGCGUGGGGAGCAAACAGG